AAAACCACCCCGGCUCCACAUCCCCGCUACCGUUGCACGGCGGCCAAGAAGGUGUAAACUUAGAGAGCGUAAACGGACGGAACCUGUUCGUUGGGAGCUCGCGGUAGAGCGAGCGGUGCCGGAGGAGCCCAUCUUUCCCAGGCGGAGAAGGAAAAAGGCAGGCAACGCCAGGUUAAGUCAACGGCGGAUUUUUCUACCAGCCCGUGUCAAUGGUGUAUAAAAUCUGAGGACUCCAGUUCAUCUCUUGCCACCAUUCAAAUUCAUUCACUCUUCAAAAAACACAUCUAAACUGAACAAGGCCAUGCUGGUUUCAGAGUCAACACAACGCUGACCGGACUGCUGCGUCUUUGGCGAUAGCCUCCUUAAGACAGCUAAAUUGUCCAGUUUAUUUUAGGUUCAUGAAAGCUACCCUCACCUUCCAAUUCCUCACAUAGAAUGGGAGUAAAAUUUCGGUGAAAUUGUUAUAUCUUCAAAUUUAGAAGCAGAGCAGAUUUUUUCAUAAAUAAUUAAGCUCUCUAAAGUAUUUAUGCUGGGCAUAAAUGGAGUUUCAAUCUUCUUUAUUCAAAUAAACACGGUAAACCCAUUA